rnacentral:rRNA from 1 species
CGUUAUUCAAUGUGAAAAGAAUUUUUAGUAGUAAAAGUUAAGGACUUGAAACUAAAAGAAAAUGGCGGUAUUACAGCCUGUUUGGAGGAACUUGUUUCGUAAUCGACGAUCCCCGUGCAAUGUGCUGUAUUUGAAGGUAUGUAUACCGUUGUCGUCAGAAAAUCUUAAUUAAGGAAUUUUCGAUAAUCUGGGAUUUAUCGUAAGUCAAAUCAAGGUGCAGCUGAUAAUACAGAGAGAAUGAGUUACAAUAAAUUAAAUUUAUACGGAGCCUUGAUUGUAAAAAAAGAGUAGAAGGCGGAUUCAAAAGUAAAUUUUCAAAAUAAAGGAAAGUUGAGUGAAGCUCUGAAAUAUGCACACAUCGCCCAUCGCUCUCAUACAAAAAUU